rnacentral:tRNA from 1 species
UGCUUGGGUAGCUCAGUUGGUAGAGCACUUGCCCGCGGAAGGCAAAGGUCCCGAGUUCGAGUCUCGGCCCGGCAA